rnacentral:rRNA from 1 species
CACCAAGGCGACGAUUGGUAGCCGGACUGAGAGGUUGAUCGGCCACAUUGGGACUGAGAUACGGCCCAGACUCCUACGGGAGGCAGCAGUGGGGAAUAUUGGGCAAUGGACGCAAGUCUGACCCAGCAACGCCGCGUGAAGGAAGAAGGCUUUCGGGUUGUAAACUUCUUUUGUCAGGGAACAGUAGAAGAGGGUACCUGACGAAUAAGCCACGGCUAACUAC